rnacentral:rRNA from 1 species
GAUGAACGCUGGCGGCGUGCCUAAUACAUGCAAGUCGAGCGAACAGACGAGGAGCUUGCUCCUCUGACGUUAGCGGCGGACGGGUGAGUAACACGUGGAUAACCUACCUAUAAGACUGGGAUAACUUCGGGAAACCGGAGAUAAUACCGGAUAAUAUAUUGAACCGCAUGGUUCAAUAGUGAAAGACGGUUUUGCUGUCACUUAUAGAUGGAUCCGCGCCGCAUUAGCUAGUUGGUAAGGUAACGGCUUACCAAGGCAACGAUGCGUAGCCGACCUGAGAGGAUGAUCGGCCACACUGGAACUGAGACACGGUCCAGACUCCUACGGGAGGCAGCAGUAGGGAAUCUUCCGCAAUGGGCGAAAGCCUGACGGAGCAACGCCGCGUGAGUGAUGAAGGUCUUCGGAUCGUAAAACUCUGUUAGUAGGGAAGAACAAAUGUGUAAGUAACUAUGCACGUCUUGACGGUACCUAAUCAGAAAGCCACGGCUAACUACGUG